CCUACGGGAGGCAGCAGUGGGGAAUAUUGCACAAUGGGCGCAAGCCUGAUGCAGCGACGCCGCGUGGGGGAUGACGGCCUUCGGGUUGUAAACCUCUUUCACCAUCGACGAAGGUCCGGGUUUUCUCGGAUUGACGGUAGGUGGAGAAGAAGCACCGGCCAACUACGUGCCAGCAGCCGCGGUAAU
rnacentral:rRNA from 1 species